rnacentral:rRNA from 1 species
UACGGAGGGGGCGAGCGUUGUUCGGAAUUACUGGGCGUAAAGCGCACGUAGGCGGCUUUGUAAGUUAGAGGUGAAAGCCCAGGGCUCAACCCUGGAAUUGCCUUUAAGACUGCAUCGCUAGAAUUGUGGAGAGGUAAGUGGAAUUCCGAGUGUAGAGGUGAAAUUCGUAGAUAUUCGGAAGAACACCAGUGGCGAAGGCGGCCCACUGGAUCGGUACUGACGCUGAGGUGCGAAAGCGUGGGGAGCAAACAGG